CUCCUCCAUCAACAAAUCCCACGCUUAUCCCAUGAACAAAGCCAACCGCAAAUCAAAGCCUCUCUUAUCCCUUCUUCGGAACAAAUCCCAGCAUUACGAUUCAUCUUAACCCCAUCCCACUAUCAGCCACAUCAAACCUCCCAGCCAUCAAAUCUUAUCUCCCAGAUUAGAUCACCUCCCAAGGAUUGCAUCUCAAACCUUAUCCCAUCACCUACGGAUUCUCAAAUCUCCCAACGUCCCAGCUAUUCCGCUCCACGAGUUCAUGCGUGCAACCCGAGUCGGCCACGUCCUGCAUCUUCCCCUGUUCCAGACUCCACGGAAAGUAGCUCCCAGCAUUGCAUCCGAACCAGCCUUGCAUCCUUAUCCCAGCAUUCAGAUUAACAGCUUAGCAUCCAUCCAAUAGAUUCACCUUCAUCCCGUGUGCAUGCCAUUAGGACCCAAGGAACAGAUUCCGCAUCCCCUGCAUCUGCAACAUCCCAAACUUCCACACGUGGAUCCCAACCUUCUUCUCGUUCCAGAUUGAACUUAGCUUUCCAUCACCCACGGAUAAGCCCAAAUCCAGCACUCCAUCCUAGCAUCCUUAUCCUAUGCGCCCAGACUUUCUUCCGCUAGAUCCCGUUCGUGAUCUUCACUUCAUCUCCACGGGAUAAACUCAAAUCCCAGCUCGCUCCCAACCGCUCCGGAUCACUUCCUCUGCAUCCCAGCAAAACAGACUUCAACCAUCCCGUGAAUUCCCCCUCUGCUUCCUCGGUUCAGCUUCAUCCCAUACUUCACGGAAUCCCUUGCAUCCUCUUCCCCUGUUCUGAAACAAAGCUAACAACCGAACCAAAUCCAACAUCCCAAACCUCUCACGUCUUCGUCUCCAGCGUUCUCAUCUCCAUGGAUAAGCUCUCAACAACGUCCAAGCUUAUCAUCUGUUCCCAGUGUUCAUUCCCAACCAAAUCCAAACACAUCCUCCCCUGCUUCGGAACAAGAGGAUCAUCCUUAUCCAGCUGCUAGUCGAGUCCCAACUUCCUCCCGUUCACACGAUCAGCUUCCAUUCCCACGGAUAAGUUCCAGCUCCUCCCAAGCUUCACACAAUCCACAUCCUCCCCUGUUUCGGAAACAGAAUAGAGUUCAUCCUCCUUCCUGAGUUUCCUCUCGUUCCGGAUUGCUCCCAUCAUCAUCUUCUCCGGAUCACGUCCACAAAUCAAAUCCCCUGCAUCUCGGAUUACAAGCUUAUUCCCUGUUUCAGAACCAACUCUCAUCCCCUGCACCUACCAAUCGGAUCAAACAAAAUCCUCCCACGUCUGCCCGUUCGCAUGAGAUUCUCCCAACGUCCACGGUCUUCCAUUGCUUCAGAACAGAGCCGGGAUCUUCUCAACGUCCGUGAUCAGCUUCCAGCUCAACCUCAAAUCCCAGCGUCCACAUCAUUCCAUCAUCCAAGAUACAACCGAGUUCAAGCUUCCCAGCAGUCACCGAUAGACUCAAAUCUUCAUCCACCGCGUCCAGGGAUCAAGGAGGAGAAGUUAUCACUUUAUCUCGCUGCCUUCCAUCCUUAUCUUGCACUCGGAAGAGGGGAGGAAAGAGGGCUGGUGAAGGCUAUAAAAGGAGGAGGAGACGGAUCCCAUGGUAAUCUCUCUCGGAGGCCAAAUCCCA
rnacentral:lncRNA from 1 species